AUUGAACGCUGGCGGCAUGCCUUACACAUGCAAGUCGAACGGCAGCACGGGAGCAAUCCUGGUGGCGAGUGGCGAACGGGUGAGUAAUAUAUCGGAACGUGCCCGGUCGUGGGGGAUAACGUAGCGAAAGCUACGCUAAUACCGCAUACGAUCUACGGAUGAAAGCGGGGGAUCGCAAGACCUCGCGCGAUUGGAGCGGCCGAUAUCAGAUUAGGUAGUUGGUGAGGUAAAGGCUCACCAAGCCGACGAUCUGUAGCUGGUCUGAGAGAACGACCAGCCACACUGGGACUGAGACACGGCCCAGACUCCUACGGGAGGCAGCAGUGGGGAAUUUUGGACAAUGGGCGAAAGCCUGAUCCAGCAAUGCCGCGUGCAGG
rnacentral:rRNA from 1 species